rnacentral:rRNA from 1 species
CACGUAGGGCGCAAGCGUUGUCCGGAAUUACUGGGCGUAAAGAGCUCGUAGGUGGUUUGUCGCGUUGUUCGUGAAAACUCACAGCUUAACUGUGGGCGUGCGGGCGAUACGGGCAGACUGGAGUACUGCAGGGGAGACUGGAAUUCCUGGUGUAGCGGUGGAAUGCGCAGAUAUCAGGAGGAACACCGGUGGCGAAGGCGGGUCUCUGGGCAGUAACUGACGCUGGAGGAGCGAAAGCGUGGGGAGCGAACAGG